rnacentral:rRNA from 1 species
GCCUGGUUAGUACUUGGAUGGGAGACCGCCUGGUAAUACCAGGU